UACGUAGGGGGCGAGCGUUGUCCGGAUUUAUUGGGCGUAAAGAGCGUGUAGGCGGCCAGGUAAGUCGGUUGUGAAAACUGGAGGCUUAACCUUCAGACGUCGACCGAAACUAUCUGGCUAGAGUCCGGAAGAGGAGAGUGGAAUUCCUGGUGUAGCGGUGAAAUGCGCAGAUAUCAGGAAGAACACCCGUGGCGAAGGCGGCUCUCUGGGACGGUACUGACGCUGAGACGCGAAAGCGUGGGGAGCGAACAGG
rnacentral:rRNA from 1 species